CGCGGACCUUGAAGCUAGACCACCCGUUUAACCAACCCCAUCUAUCCUUUUAAGUUCUAUCUGUUUCUUCCAACACCAUUCAUGCCCUAUUUUUCCUUUUUUUCUACAUGAACAGAAGAUGUAAAAUUGUAAAUGCCUUUCAAUCCCAAUCCCUAAUCCAUCUUAUAUGCUUCACUGAUGAAAGAAAAUCUGUAAAUUGAUUUCAUACAUUGACGAAUAUCAGAGUGGUGUUCCUGUAUUGUUUCAUUGCUUCUGUUGUUUCAAUUAUUACAAUUUUUUUUUACUAAUAAGUCCGAAGUUUGAAGCGAUUUCACUAGAAAGAGAUGGGUGACCUUGAUCGAGUGAACUAAAGAGACAUUUUUAGGUAAAUUCCAUUUUAUAAUAUGGGUGUAGAUACGGGUGAUCUGCAUAUAAAGGUUAUACUUAAUGUUCAACAAUACUUAUGUCAAAUUUAAAGAGUUUAGACGAUACUGAUGGAUUAGUUGAUCUAGAAUUUGAACAAGACAUAUGAGAAGUAUUCCAUCAUUUUUCUAGCUCAGAUGCAGAUUCUUCAGUUUUCAUCCAGGAUUUUGCUCGAAGUGCUUUUGUCAAACCCAUCAAAGUCCAUGUGGGUCGAGCAAGAAGCAGCAAAUUUUGAUGUUAUCGACUAUUUAUUCAUAUAUUAUCUUAUACGUACUCAAGUAAUAAUGGAAUGAGAUUCAUUUUUAUCUACCAAAAUGGUUAAAUUAUGUUACUUUGUAUACUGUUUUAUGUUUCACUAUUUUUUUAUAUUUAAAUUAAUGUUCUCCA